UACGUAGGGUGCGAGCGUUGUCCGGAAUUAUUGGGCGUAAAGAGCUCGUAGGCGGUUUGUCGCGUCUGCUGUGAAAACUGGAGGCUCAACCUCCAGCCUGCAGUGGGUACGGGCAAGACUAGAGUGCGGGUAGGGGAGUGUGGAAUUCCGUGGGUGGAGCGGUGAAAUGCGCAGAUAAUCAGGAGGAACACCCGUAGCGAAGGCGGCACUCUGGGCCGAUACUGACACUGAGGGAGCGAAAGCGUGGGGAGCGAACGG
rnacentral:rRNA from 1 species